rnacentral:rRNA from 1 species
AGUGAACGCUGGCGGUAUGCCUAACACAUGCAAGUCGAACGGCAGCACAGUAAGAGCUUGCUCUUACGGGUGGCGAGUGGAGGACGGGUGAGGAAUACAUCGUAAUCUACUUUUUCGUGGGGGAUAACGUAGGGAAACUUACGCUAAUACCGCAUACGACCUACGUGUGAAAGCAGGGGAUCUUCGGACCUUGCGCGAUUGAAUGAGCCGAUGUCGGAUUAGCUAGUUGGCGGGGUAAAGGGCCACCAAGGCGGCGAUCCGUAGCUGGUCUGAGAGGAUGAUCAGCCACACUGGAAGAGAGACACGGCCCAGACACCUACGGGAGGCAGCAGUGGGGAAUAUUGGAGAAUGGGGGCAUGCCUGAUCCAGCAAUACCGAGUGAGUGAAGAAGGACCUAGGGUGGUAAAGCGAUGUUGUUGGGAAAGAAAAGCAGCAGGUUAAUACGCCGCUGUUCUGACGGUAACUAAAGAAUAAGCACCGGCUAACUUCGUG